GGAGCGGCGCGAUUAUUCGCUAUUCAGACGCAAGACGUUCAAAUCACGCGCCACGUUCAAACGUGGGUCACGUGGCUCGGUGCACAUCGGCCAUCAUGGUAUCAGGCGUCUGCUUUUCUGCGUCGUUGCGUUACAUCAGCGCUGCUUGCAUUGUCUGUCAGAUAUCGAGUUCGCGAUCAUUUAUGAAUUCAGUCAAUGUUUGUGGCUAGGACUUGGAACCAAUCAAUCUCUUGCAUUGACAUAUUUAUCAACGUUGCAAGGUUAGAACGUGGUUGGAACGUAUUUUAAAUCUCAAUAUCGUCCUUAGCGUCAGACUUGGAAAUUAUAUCUGCUACUAAACACCAAGUGAAGUAUUCGUCGCUCCGUGCUGUCAAAACUUAUUCUUCUAGAAAUGCUUACCCUGCACCGAUCAAUCUUUUCGCUUUUUACGCUACGAAUGGGCGGAAAACAGCAACGGUAUUUUUCAUCGUUCUCUGCGAUAGAAGACCCGCACCACGGAUGGAUCGACGGAAAGAUAUUUAAGUCUCUGAUACGCCAGCGUACCAGCCCCUAACCUCACUUCGCCUGUCCCUUCGUUAAUAUCUGCCGAGGCAAGAAUGAUUUGUGACAAUCAGUGGUUUCUUAAUAUUUUCGAAGUUUACAAUUUUUACUUGAAUAUUGCUACUAAGGACCGUUCUGAUAUCGUAACACGGUGCUUGAAGCAAAGUUACCUGAGCAACCAAGUGAAAAUCAAGUAGUGCUAAUUAGCUGUUCGCAUUGUGUCUUGGCAAAUUUCAUCAGAAGACAAACUUCUGGCUUCAGAAUAAGAACUGCUUUGACUGAUGUGUGAGAUAUAAAUAAACACACCAUGUUGUGUCAUCUGAGAUUGGAGUUGUCAAGCGACGUAUGUGAAGGAUUGUAGUCAGACGCUGAGGUAAUUAGAACAAAAAAUGAAUGAAUGUAUGAAGAUAAGCAAGCACAAGUAGACGUACAUCAUCACAACCAUGGGCUCGUAGGAAACUAGUGCGAUUGUGAUAAUAUGCUUACUGCAGUGAAAGACAAUGCAGAUAAGCUUGACAAAUAGUAACAACUUCUGAGAUACCACGGUAAAAUUUCAAUAGAACGGGAAGUUCGCUGGAUUUUUUCAAAAAAUAUCCUGAUGCAAAGGAAUGAUGAAAAAAUAGCAGAUGGGAUGAAAAUAACUUGAAGAAAAUGCGUCUUUGAUUCGUCAAUUGACUUUUAAUACAUUAUUCUCUAAAUGAAUCUAAUAAUGGACUGAACGAUUUUGAAGCCUGGAAUUUUUUUUUUUAAACUUAAUUCUGUCUUCGUACAAGUAACGUAAAUAUAGACCAACCUGGAAGCUAUUAAUGAAAAUUCUUCUUUGACCGGUGGUAUUAUCAAACAAGAAACUGAAUUCGAUCAUUGCUGUCCUCAAAUAGCCAUGUUAUCAAUACUGGUAACCCCUCCUUUUCAAGCAGAUAUCAAUCAGCAUCAAGUGGAGUUGACUGAAGUUGGGAUUAUCGGAAUGGAGAGAAAAACCAAGUAACUCAAACCUCCGAACGAAAUUUGCUGAAAAUAAAAUGGCUUUUGACAGCUUAGAUUGAUUACCACGAGCCGAUAUUAAAGAAUGUAUCACAGAUGAAAUCAGCCACUUGAGAUUGUGAUCUUGUUUUCCAUCACACAUCUAGUAGAUUGGACAUCAAAAUGCUUACAUAUAAAAUCCAACGGCACAAAAUAAUACUUGACAAAGAUUUCGUAGCAAAUCACAAAAUAUCAGUUAAGCUUGAAUUUAACUCGAUAAUUAACUUUAGAAGAGCAAUCAGAUAUUUAAGUAGGCACUUGAGAAAUACCCGUCAUCCCGAAUCGUACACAAAUGUAUAUUAAUAUCUAAUUGCCACUUUGAUAUAAGUACUUUAUGCGAAGAACUAUGUAUGUUCUGCUCUUUAUUGCGUUGUAUAUACGUUUUACAAAUUUGUUUAUCAUGUUGUAAACUCGGUCCAUUCUAUUACUUAUCUCGGUAAUUCCAAUGCAAUCAUUCCGUGUUAACUCAUUGUCAGGCCCCAUUGUUGACAAAUUACUGUCAAGUAAGGCUACACGUAUUUUUAUUUAUGACAUUAGCAAAGUUACUCAAUGUGCUCAUAUAUUUUUCGUCAACCAUGAUAUGUGCCGUGACGUCAAAUAUGAAGCUCAAACACUUCUAUUCGCAAUAAAGGCAUGUGUAUACUGCGUAUGCAUGCAUUUUAUAUGUUAUUAGCAUUAUUAUUAUUAUUAUUAGCAAACCGCCAAUUAGCUUAUAUUCUGAUUAUAGUCUUGUGACUUACACAGUGUAGUACUUUCUUUCUUUCUUUAUUACAUCGAGUUACAAUGAAGUGCAACUUUUCUUUUCGAGUAUUCAAUUAUUUAUAUUCAUAGGCACGGGUGAAUACAAAAAAAUGCGAAUUCGCUGCAUUGCAAAAAGUUAGACCUACCUUCACCUAGGUCUUAAAUUUUCAAAUCUUUACCUGAUUUAUAAAUUUGAAUCCCCGACAUGCCGGACAAUCGUUGACACCACAGACUUUACCUAAAAAAAUUCAGCAAUGUGAGUACGAAGAUAUGCUGAAUUUAAAUAAAUUUUUCUUCAUCAAAAACGAAUGGAUAAACGUCGUAAUUCAAUUCUUGAAUAUUCAAAAGUGGCUUGUCCUAAUUUAAGAAUAUCUUGCUAUGAAUCAGUGAUAAAAAUAAUCUAACAAUCCAAUCAACAGUUGAUAUGCUUUCCCAUGACAACUACGUGAUUUUAUAUAAUUCUUUAGCCGGUAUAGAAUCCAUUGAAGAUUUUGGGAUAAAAAAAGUGUUACCUACUAGUGGUAAGAGUUCUAACUAAUAAGUGAGAGAAACACAUUACCUUUUUGUUUUUCUCAAAUUAUACAAAUAUCGAGGUAAAAAAAAAACUGUGUACAAUUUUUAGAAUUGUAUUGUUACCUACAAUUUACCGUGCCUUAAUGUACGCCCAAUUUGACAAAAACGAUAACACCUCCAUUUUCUAUCCUAAUCAUGUGUGCCUAUGAGUAAAACUUGCAUUACCACGGUCUUUCAGUGCAGACCAGUAUUCAAAAAAAAUUUGA